rnacentral:tRNA from 1 species
GCCCACAUAGCUCAGUGGUUGAGCAUCGACCUAUGAACCAGAAGGUCCUGGUUCGAUUCCUGGUCAGGGUA